GGAGUGCUUGCACUCCUGAUGCUUAGCGGCGGACGGGUGAGUAACACGUAGGUAACCUGCCUGUGAGACUGGGAUAACUACCGGAAACGGUAGCUAAUACCGGAUAGACAUUUUCCUCGCCUGAGGGAGAUGGGAAAGACGGAGCAAUCUGUCACUUGCAGAUGGACCUGCGGCGCAUUAGCUAGUUGGUGGGGUAACGGCUCACCAAGGCGACGAUGCGUAGCCGACCUGAGAGGGUGAUCGGCCACACUGGGACUGAGACACGGCCCAGACUCCUACGGGAGGCAGCAGUAGGGAAUCUUCCGCAAUGGACGAAAGUCUGACGGAGCAACGCCGCGUGAGUGAUGAAGGUUUUCGGAUCGUAAAGCUCUGUUGCCAGGGAAGAACGCCAGGGAGAGUAACUGCUCUCUGGGUGACGGUACCUGAGAAGAAAGCCCCGGCUAACUACGUGCCAGCAGCCGCGGUAAUACGUAGGGGGCAAGCGUUGUCCGGAAUUAUUGGGCGUAAAGCGCGCGCAGGCGGUGAUGUAAGUUGGGUGUUUAAACCUAGGGCUCAACCUUGGGUCGCAUCCAAAACUGCAUGACUUGAGUACAGAAGAGGAAAGUGGAAUUCCACGUGUAGCGGU
rnacentral:rRNA from 1 species